UACAGAGGGUGCAAGCGUUAAUCGGAAUCACUGGGCGUAAAGGGCGCGUAGGCGGCGCGGGCAGUCAACGGUGAAAGCUCGGGGCUCAACUCCGAGUCGGCCGUCGAUACUCCCGUGCUCGAGCACUGUAGAGGCAGGUGGAAUUCCGGGUGUAGCGGUGGAAUGCGUAGAGAUCCGGAAGAACACCGGUGGCGAAGGCGGCCUGCUGGGCAGUAGCUGACGCUGAGGCGCGACAGCGUGGGGAGCAAACAGG
rnacentral:rRNA from 1 species